AGAGUUUGAUUCUGGCUCAGAACGAACGCUGGCGGCGUGCCUAACACAUGCAAGUCGAACGGAAUUAGAGCAUGCUCUUUAAUUUAGUGGCGCACGGGUGUGUAACGCGUAGAUAAUCUGCCUGAUGAUCUGGAAUAACACUUCGAAAGGGGUGCUAAUACCGGAUAAGCCCACGGCAUCUUUGGAUGCUGCGGGAAAAGGGGGGGACCUUCGGGCCUUCUGUCAUCAGAUGAGUCUGCGUACCAUUAGCUAGUUGGUGGGGUAAGAGCCUACCAAGGCGACGAUGGUUAGCUGGUCUGAGAGGAUGAUCAGCCACACUGGAACUGAGACACGGUCCAGACUCCUACGGGAGGCAGCAGUGGGGAAUAUUGCGCAAUGGGCGAAAGCCUGACGCAGUAACGCCGCGUGAGUGAUGAAGGCUUUCGGGUCGUAGAGCUCUGUCAGUGGGAAAGAAGUGUAUUGUGGCUAAUAUCCACGAUACUUGACGGUACCCAAGGAAGCACCGGCUAACUCCGUGCCAGCAGCCGCGGUAAUACGGGGGGUGCAAGCGUUGUUCGGAUUUAUUCGGCGUAAAGCGCGUGUAGGCGGUUUGUUAAGUCUGAUGUGAAAGCCCUGGGCUCAACCCAGGAAGUGCAUUGGAAACUGGCAUACUUGAAUACGGGAGAGGGUAGUGGAAUUCCUGGUGUACCAGUGAAAUCCGUAGAUAUCAGGAGGAACACCGGUGGCGAAGGCGGCUGCCUGGACCGAUAUUGACGCUGAGACGCGAAAGCGUGGGUAGCAAACAGCAUUAGAUACCCUGGUAGUCCACGCCGUAAACGAUGAGUACUAGGUGUUGCGGGUAUUGACCCC
rnacentral:rRNA from 1 species